UGUACAUGGACUCCUGCAAUGGGGGAGUCUCACACAAGAGGGAUGAGGAUUUAGGGGACGAGGAAGAUGAGGAGGAGAAGGAGGAUGAAACCAUUCUCUCCAACAGCUAGGAACUGUUUAUCAUCCUGGAUCCAAUACCCUCCUAACCCUCCCAAGGAGGGCUCCCUGACCUUGAAGGCAGAGAAGGCACCUCUGCUGCAAAUGUUUCAACACUCCCCUAUCACCUCUGACCCAGAGGCUAGCGCAAACAAGAAGG